rnacentral:rRNA from 1 species
UACAGAGGUCCCAAGCGUUGUUCGGAUUCACUGGGCGUAAAGGGUGCGUAGGCGGCCGGGUAAGUCUGCUGUGAAAUCCCGCAGCUCAACUGCGGAACUGCAUUGGAUACUAUCCGGCUAGAGGAAUGGAGGGGAGACUGGAAUUCUCGGUGUAGCAGUGAAAUGCGUAGAUAUCUAGAGGAACACCAGUGGCGAAGGCGGGUCUCUGGGCCGUAACUGACGCUGAGGAGCGAAAGCAUGGGGAGCGAACAGG